GACAGAAUUUUUCUGGAGAGAACAAAUCUUAUAAACUUUUAUAAACAAUUUUAGUGUCUACCUAAUUAUUAGAAAUACUGAACUUUGUGUAUGAACCUGGCAUAAGAAUUCGGUUAAAUGCUUGAAUGAAAGAAGCAGAAGGAGUUACACAUGCAAGCUUGUCAUCCCUUACCUGAUGCUGUCAGGUUAACUGGGGCUUUCCUUCCCACCUUUGUCACUGUAUUAACUGAGACCCGAUUUAAACACUGUGCCUCCUUUUGCUUUCACUUCAUUAGAAUUCUCUGCUUUCUGUUACUUUGUCAGUACAUAGUGAUUAGCCCCCUCUGAAGCUGUUUAUUUACAGGUUCCACAAAACUCCCAGACUGUUGGUCUGCAUUCUUUGUACUCUUUGAAUGUUGCAUAGUGAGUUUCUAGUGUUUCGACUAGAAAUGAAAUGGGGAUUUUAAAAUGCCUGUUAUAUCUUGCAUGAUUUCUGAUUAUACUUUAAAAAUGUUUUAAUAUUAAGAAUAAGAUCUGGCUGGAUAGUACUGGAUGCAGUGCAGUAUGCAGAAGUUAAACACCUUUGCAGGUGUUGGGUCAGUCAGUAAAAACAAGCAUUAAGUUUUAACUACUGAGUGUAUUCCACAGACUUGUUUGACUUCUUAGGAUGCAGGUUAACCUAGCUUGAAUUCUUGUGCUGUGAUGCUGCAUUUUUUUGGAUGCCACCAAAAAAAUAAAAAUCCAAGUUCUGCAUUUUGCUCUCUUGUAUUUUCAAACAGAAAUUUGCUGUUUGCUCAUUCCCAACCAGUACAAAGUGAAUGAUACUUGCAAUUCACACAAAUGUGUUUCAGAUGUAUUGUGAAUUAUAGAUAAUAUUAAAAAAAAAAUAGAAGGUUGGGCUUCAGUACAUGGAGAUGUUUCAGGCUAAAGACAAGGAAAAAUUUAAUCUGCCUGAGAAAGAGGAGUCUUGCAGAAGCUGAUCAUUGCUUCUUAGCACUUGCCUUUUGUGACAGCUGAUGCCCAUUUUAGGCCUCAGAGAACACCUGCAUGGUUCCCUUAGAGAGAUGAGCUGUGUAAUCUGGUGAGUGCUAAAGGAAUGAGCUCUCCCUGCUGCAGGAGCCUCAGUCUCAGAGGAUCAGAGCUGACUGCAGGGUUAGGGAAGCGGGUCACUGGAGUAGAAGGCAAAGAAACUUUCAAUGUUUUAUUGUAGAUCCAGCAGCAAGAGUGGCUGACAAUUUGGUGCAGAGCCCAGCACUUCUUUUCACAGCUGUGGACAGUUCAAAGGGUAGUAAGUUGUGCUUGUGACACUGGUUGUAUAAGCUGUUUGAAAGCUUAAGUUUAGCAGUCCAGAGAGGAAAAUUUGUCUUCUGUUGACUGUCAAGAGAAUAAGACAGUCUGGCAUGCAGUGGGGUGGGAACAUGCCUGGAUUCUCAUGGGAACUGAGAAGGAAUUUGUUAUAGAGACUUGAGAAAAUACAAAAGAGGUCAUGUUUUUGAAAUGUGACAAAUUGAAAAUAUCGUGCUAAUGCUUUGAUAAUUUUAUUUUAAAAUCCAAAACCUGGCAUUUCAAGGUAUUAAGACUUCAUUUGUAGAAGGAGAAGAAGAAAUUACUCCUGGGAAUAAAAGGGUAAAGUCAAUAGUGUCAAAAAAGAGUACUGUGCAAGAUUUUUUAAGUGGUAAAAUAUGGUGAGUCCUGUGAGCUGUGGUUCAUCCUGUGCCUUUUAGCAGUUUAAACAUUUAAAAUCUGGGUCUUUACUUUCAGUAGUUGCAAUGCUUAUGGGAAUUUGGAGAUGUGCUAAUGCAGGCUGUCAUUAAAUGUUUAUUUUGUAAACCUUGGUUGCACUGCUUCUCUGUAACAUGGUGUGAGAGCAAGACUUCAGCCACUGUAAAUCCAGUUUUUGAUAUUUUGCUUGUAUAGAGUCUUAUGCUAUUAAUUUUUUUAACUGUGCUUGUCCUGCCCCUGUACUGGACAUCAGCUUUUAUAAAAUACAAUUGUUACUGCUAUAAAUGUAAAUCUCCUGUAGAAAUGAGGUUGGAAAAGGGCAUCCUGUUGUCCUAAGAGUUCAUGUUGAGUUCUGGUCUUCUGAAUGAGAAAGUGGUACAAAAACACUGUUGUAAAUGUGGAUAGUAAACAGUGAAAAUGUUAAAUCUAAAUUCUUACGUUUCCUCACUUUAAGAGGUGCUCAAUAGGUGUGCUACAUGUGAAAAAUGUCUCUUCCUGUGUCAGGAUAUCAGUCUUCUCUCUGAGGUUCUGGAUGUCAGUCACUCAGAAGUGGAAACCAUUAAAAGGUUCCUGCAACCUAAUGGCCCCAAAUGCUUUCUACUUCUUUCUUAUUAUUUUUACUGUCCUGUCUCACUCUAAACUAAGCACUGAAAACUUGCCUUUGUUCUUUUUGAGAUGGAGAGUGAAAAAGAAAUGUGAACAUGAGAAUCCAAGAAAAACUAUAAGAUAUUAAACUGCAGUGAAAAUAAAGCAGUUUGGAUAGAGAGUUGAUGUCAUCUCUAUAUUGAAACCCAAAUUAUAUAUUACUAAUAUAUGAGUACUUGAAGAUAAUUCUGAAAUUAGGCUGUGCUAGAACAUGAAUCUGUGGUAGUGGACUAAGAGCUUCAAGCUUUCUGUUCAGGAAGAGGUAACAGCUGAGCAAGGCAAACCCAUGUGGUUCCCUCUGGCAGACAUCCUGUUCUGUGUUUAGGGUUGAUUCUGCACCCAGAUACCAGAGAAAACCAUGCAAGUGUACUUCCACGUAUUUGGAAGGAAACUCUAACCUUUACUGGUAGAGAAAGGUAUUUUUGUUUCAUGUUAUUUGUCAGGUGAUUUAAGCCUGGAUGCUUCUAGAAGGUAAUGAUGAUUGGUUUUUAAUUUCUAGGCUGAACCUCCUUCCUCCAGUUGAGCCUAGGGAGGCUGAGUGUCAGGGUAGGAGCAGGAUUUCCCAGAUCCCUCACUACUGUUCUGUCAUUCUUCCAGAGCAGCUGCUUAGAAUGCAUAUCCUGGAGGAUUUUGUUCGAGUGAGCUGCUGCUAAGUAGGAGGUCUCUGGGUAACUUUCUAUUGUGGCAUGCUUGCUCCAUCUCUGCAAAAAUAGCAGCACUUAGGCAAAUUUUACCCAAUUUUGGUAUUGGUGAGUUAAAUUGCUGAAAAGCAAUGCAGCUUUUGACAAGUCACACUGCCGCUGUGGGUGAAGCAUAUUUAAUAGAUGCUGAAGUGAAAGAUGUGCAUGAAAAAAAUGAAACUGCUGUGCUUUGAAAUGGCUCAGCAUCCUUCACUUUUGAAUUAAAGGAUUUAGUUCUGGGCUGCUUUUUCAGUCAUAUCAGAGCUCUGGAGCCUCUUUUUAGGCAGGGUGUAUCUUUUACAAAUAGAGUAUUUUUUUUCAUUGCCAAAGACAUUGUUUGCCAUAGAAAUUGGGGAGAAUAUCCAGGUGAGGAUAUUCUAGUGGUGUUGUGGGGCUGCAUGAAGAUGAAUUCUGAAUCCUCAGGUGCCAAAACGAUAAGCUGAUCAGGCUUUAGCUGGGAUGCUAGCAAAAAUUGGAAGAUUGUUAAUUUUCUAAAUGCUGUUCCAAUGAAUCCUGCCAUGAGAAGGAAAACAGAGGGACAACUCUCAAUUACAGUCCUGUAUCUGUAUUUAAUAUAUAUUUUUAAAAAUAGUUUUAGCAAAGUAACAUGUUUGUAUUAUUUAAAUGAGAAAUACAGAUACAUUUCUGGUUACUGGAAAAAUGUAAAAAAGGCAUUUUAUAGUUUGAAUUAAUGGUAUGCUUUAAUUUUAGCACAGCAGAAAAGUUGGAUAUGGGAUCCCUAUAUCCCAUAUGGAUAUGGGUGAAGUUUGGGCUCUAGUGAGGUUCAAAGGGUGUGUGUAUGGGCAGUAUUGACUCUUUACAGCAUUUUAGGAAGGUCUGGUUUAUGCUAGUUUAGCCUGACUUUACAAGACACCGCCUAUGUGCUGCAAGUUGCUUUCCUUGUCUCACAGCUAUAGUACUUAUGAAUAUAUAUUAGGAAAUAAUGUCCUUCAGGCCAUACCAGGGUGCUGAAAUAUCCUGUGUAUGUGAACUGCUGUUUAUUCCAGGUUAGACUUUUCUCUAGACCUUUAAAAAAGAGAAGAGGAACAGAGGUUACAGAAGGUUGCAAGGAAAUUAAACUUUCUAUAGCUUAUAAAGAAUGUCAGUUUUAUUACUUGAGGUGUAUGAAUUUUAUUGUAGUAGCUUUCCCGUGUUAGUUGAACCCUGGAGGUGUUGAAAAGCUGUUUGUUUCAAUUUCUCCAAGCUUGUUUUGUCUUUAACUGCUGUAUGGUUGAAGAAAUUCCUUUUCACCCUAAUGCUCACAGUGACUGAAGCAGAUAGCUCAGGAUAGUGGGGAAUACAGAGAUCACCCUGGAAAACUCGUGCUAAACAGCUGCCUGUAAUUUGUUGUGGCACCUCAUAGGACUUGAACUGAUAGAGGCAGCUCACGUGGGAUGGCAGUUUGUGCUGGUAGAGUGUUUUGGGAACAUUUGGUGGGGUACCAAGUAUGUGUUCCUAAAGCCACUCUUGUCUUAUAGGUGCAAAUCUGACUCAAAGGGUGUGUAAUUGCUUCUUUCAUAAAGGUUUAUUUUGUUUUCCAGUGUGUUGUCCAAGCACUUAAAUGGCUUAUGUUCCAGUUUAUAAAUAAAUACAAUCCUUAAUCUUGCUUGGUAUUACAGCUGUUUCUUUCAUUUAAGGAUGUUUCCACUUUUUCCAAUAUUUUUGUUUUACUCUGAUUAUAGAGCCAUGGCAAAGAUUUUAGGGCCCUUCCCCAUCUCCUUUAUUUCUGUAUUUUACU